UUAUGGAGGAGUUCAAGAUUAAUCCCUCGGGAGAGGGUAUCCCAUGGGUAGGAUUCUCACCGGGUUUUCAAAUGGGCCUUAAGCAGUAGGCCUAUACCCAUGUGGCCAAAGGGAUGUUGCUAAGCAAUUCUGCGUUUGGGGAGAGUCGAUCCCUGACCUAGACCAACAGGGCCACUCUUCCACCAGACUAGAACCACUAGCCCACCACCUCUGGUUAAGAGAGAAUAUAUAGUUGGGAACCGUUUCUUAAAUUACUAGAAAUAUCCCCGUCGAAGUAUAAGCCGUUGAUAACUUCUUCCUCAGUUCCUUGCGUUCUUUAAAAAUGUUAAGCGGAUGAAAUCUUAUCAAAUAUGUCUUUGAAAAUUUGAGUGAGAUGGGCCAUCGCCAGAGUCGUUCCGACAUUUUUCAUAUGUGAGAUGUCCAAUGUAAA